GACGAACGCUGGCGGCGUGCUUAACACAUGCAAGGCGAACGGAAAGGCCCUGCUUUUGUGGGGUGCUCGAGUGGCGAACGGGUGAGUAACACGUGAGUAACCUGCCCUUGACUUUGGGAUAACUUCAGGAAACUGGGGCUAAUACCGGAUAGGAGCUCCUGCUGCAUGGUGGGGGUUGGAAAGUUUCGGCGGUUGGGGAUGGACUCGCGGCUUAUCAGCUUGUUGGUGGGGUAGUGGCUUACCAAGGCUUUGACGGGUAGCCGGCCUGAGAGGGUGACCGGCCACAUUGGGACUGAGAUACGGCCCAGACUCGUACGGGAGGCAGCAGUGGGGAAUAUUGCACAAUGGGCGGAAGCCUGAUGCAGCAACGCCGCGUGCGGGAUGACGGCCUUCGGGUUGUAAACCGCUUUCGCCUGUGACGAAGCGUGAGUGACGGUAAUGGGUAAAGAAGCACCGGCUAACUACGUG
rnacentral:rRNA from 1 species